GACGAACGCUGGCGGCGUGCUUAACACAUGCAAGUCGAACGGAAAGGCCCUGCUUUUGUGGGGUGCUCGAGUGGCGAGCGGGUGAGUAACACGUGAGUAACCUGCCCUUGACUUUGGGAUAACUUCAGGAAACUGGGGCUAAUACCGGAUAGGAGCUCCUGCUGCAUGGUGGGGGUUGGAAAGUUUCGGCGGUUGGGGAUGGACUCGCGGCUUAUCAGCUUGUUGGUGGGGUAGUGGCUUACCAAGGCUUUGACGGGUAGCCGGCCUGAGAGGGUGACCGGCCACAUUGGGACUGAGAUACGGCCCAGACUCCUACGGGAGGCAGCAGUGGGGAAUAUUGCACAAUGGGCGGAAGCCUGAUGCAGCAACUCCGCGUGCGGGAUGACGGCCUUCGGGUUGUAAACCGCUUUCGCCUGUGACGAAGCGUGAGUGACGGUAAUGGGUAAAGAAGCACCGGCUAACUACGUG
rnacentral:rRNA from 1 species